GUCAACAGCGCACGUCAAUCAUCUUUAUUGGCCACAAUGACGCCAGUGUAUAAACUGUUGCUGUUGUCGCCGGUGGGUUUACAUGAACGCGGCUGCAGGUGCGAGCGGAUGAUGUGAGGAAGAAACGCGUGUACUGCAGGUGUGUGUUUGAUGGACAGCAUCAUGUUGAAAGGCUCAUCGUGAUUGGAUAUUCCCUGUGAAUCUGAACCACGUCGCCCCAUGUCAGUCCAUAACCACCACGACCACUCGCCCCCGUGAGCCCCUCCUCUGUUUGACUGGAUGAGGAACCCCGCCUCUGGUGAUGUCAUGCACAGGUUCGAGGUUCUUGGGAUCGUGGGUGAAGGGGCCUACGGUGUCGUCUUGAAGUGCAGACACAAGGUAAGAUUUGCCUUUCUUUCAGAGAGAUUCCCUUUAACUUUGUCUUUGAAAAGUGUCUAAGCAUUUACAUACUACACAUAGCACAUUAUAUUGUGGAUAAACAUGCUGCCUACUA